UACGGGGGGGGCAAGCGUUGUUCGGAAUUACUGGGCGUAAAGGGCUCGUAGGUGGCCAACUAAGUCGGACGUGAAAUCCCUCGGCUUAACCGGGGAACUGCGUCCGAUACUGGUUGGCUUGAGUUUGGGAGAGGGAUGCGGAAUUCCAGGUGUAGCGGUGAAAUGCGUAGAUAUCUGGAGGAACACCGGUGGCGAAGGCGGCAUCCUGGACCGAUACUGACGCUGAGGAGCGAAAGCCAGGGGAGCAAACGGG
rnacentral:rRNA from 1 species